UUAUUUAAUGGCCGCGGUAUUUUGACCGUGCAAAGGUAGCAUAAUCAUUAGUUUAUUAAUUGUGGACUUGUAUGAAUGGUUGGACGAGAUAUUUACUGUCUCAUAUUUAUUAGUUGAAUUUAAUUUUUUUGUUAAAAAGCUUAAAUUUUAUUGUAAGACGAGAAGACCCUAUAGAUCUUUAAUUUUUAUUUUAUUACAUUUUUUGGUUUAUAUUUUUAUAUUAAUUUAAUAUUUUUUGUUGGGGUGACAUGGAGAUAUAUUUAACUCUUUAUAUUUUAUACAAUUAUUUUUGAUUUUUUGACCUUUUAUUAUUGUUUUAAGAUACAGAUACCUUAGGGAUAACAGCGUAAUUUUUUUUGAGAGUUCCUAUCGACAAUAAAGAUUGCGACCUCGAUGUUGGAUUAAGAUAAAUAUAAGGUGUAGGUGCUUUAUGUAAUAGGUCUGUUCGACCUUUAAAUUCUUACAUGAUCUGAGUUCAAAACCGGAG
rnacentral:rRNA from 1 species